rnacentral:rRNA from 1 species
UAAGCCGUUGAAGGUGUGUUGUAAAGCAUGCUGGAGGUAUCAGAAGUGCGAAUGCUGACAUGAGUAACGACAAGGGGGGUGAAAAACCUCCCCGCCGGAAGACCAAGGGUUCCUGUCCAACGUUAAUCGGGGCAGGGUAAGUCGACCCCUAAGGCGAGGCUGAAAAGCGUAGUCGAUGGGAAACGGGUUAAUAUUCCCGUACUUCUUACAAUUGCGAUGGGGGGACGGAGAAGGCUAGGUGGGCCUGGCGACGGUUGUCCAGGUUCAAGUGCGUAGGCUGAGUGUUUAGGUAAAUCCGGAUACUCUUAAGGCUGAGACACGACGUCGAGCUACUACGGUAGUGAAGUCAUUGAUGCCAUGCUUCCAGGAAAAGCCUCUAAGCUUCAGAUUGUAAGGAAUCGUACCCCAAACCGACACAGGUGGUCGGGUAGAGAAUACCAAGGCGCUUGAGAGAACUCGGGUGAAGGAACUAGGCAAAAUGGUACCGUAACUUCGGGAGAAGGUACGCUCUUGAUGGUGAAGUCCCUUGCGGAUGGAGCUGACGAGAGUCGCAGAUACCAGGUGGCUGCAACUGUUUAUUAAAAACACAGCACUGUGCAAAAUCGUAAGAUGACGUAUACGGUGUGACGCCUGCCCGGUGCCGGAAGGUUAAUUGAUGGGGUUAGCGUAAGCGAAGCUCUUGAUCGAAGCCCCGGUAAACGGCGGCCGUAACUAUAACGGUCCUAAGGUAGCGAAAUUCCUUGUCGGGUAAGUUCCGACCUGCACGAAUGGCGUAAUGAUGGCCACGCUGUCUCCACCCGAGACUCAGUGAAAUUGAAAUCGCUGUGAAGAUGCAGUGUACCCGCGGCUAGACGGAAAGACCCCGUGAACCUUUACUACAGCUUGGCACUGAACAUUGAACCUACAUGUGUAGGAUAGGUGGGAGGCUUUGAAGACGUGACGCCAGUUGCGUUGGAGCCGUCCUUGAAAUACCACCCUUGUAUGUUUGAUGUUCUAACGUUGGCCCCUAAUCGGGGUUGCGGACAGUGCCUGGUGGGUAGUUUGACUGGGGCGGUCUCCUCCCAAAGAGUAACGGAGGAGCACGAAGGUGGGCUAAUCACGGUUGGACAUCGUGAGGUUAGUGCAAUGGCAUAAGCCCGCUUAACUGCGAGAAUGACGGUUCGAGCAGGUGCGAAAGCAGGUCAUAGUGAUCCGGUGGUUCUGAAUGGAAGGGCCAUCGCUCAACGGAUAAAAGGUACUCCGGGGAUAACAGGCUGAUACCGCCCAAGAGUUCAUAUCGACGGCGGUGUUUGGCACCUCGAUGUCGGCUCAUCACAUCCUGGGGCUGAAGUCGGUCCCAAGGGUAUGGCUGUUCGCCAUUUAAAGUGGUACGCGAGCUGGGUUUAGAACGUCGUGAGACAGUUCGGUCCCUAUCUGCCGUGGGCGUUGGAAGAUUGAAGGGGGCUGCUCCUAGUACGAGAGGACCGGAGUGGACGAACCUCUGGUGUUCGGGUUGUGUCGCCAGACGCAUUGCCCGGUAGCUAAGUUCGGAAUCGAUAACCGCUGAAAGCAUCUAAGCGGGAAGCGAGCCCUGAGAUGAGUCUUCCCUGAUACUUUAAGUAUCCUAAAGGGUUGUUCGAGACUAGAACGUUGAUAGGCAGGGUGUGUAAGCGCUGUGAGGCGUUGAGCUAACCUGUACUAAUUGCCCGUGAGGCUUAACCAUACAACACCCAAAGGGUUUUG